GACAGCAUGAGGAAAGGAAAUGGGGGGAAGGACAGCAUGAGGGGAGGAAAUGGGAGGAGGACCAUUUGAGGGGCGGAAAUGGUGGAAGGGUUCUGGGAUACCUAUGGACACCUGUCGCCAGCAUGAUGUGUGUCUGGACAUGACUACAUAUUGAAACAAUACACAAGGUUAUAUUAGAUGGUUUAGUUUCAAUAAUAAUGAUAAUAAAUAAUUGUCAGUUUUCCUUUAAAACAGCUGUGCACUAGCAACAUUUGGUCCAAUUUCAAUUCCAUGUAGUACCAAACAUCACUCUGCUGCCAAAACUCAGCUCUUUGCCUUGCAUCUCAAAUCAAUCACUCUAUGUUGGGUGCAGGGCUAUAUAACUGUGUAUUACUUAUCCAGUACUUUCAUGUACGAUGAUUCCUUUGUGUUAAUGUAUCAUUGCUUUGGUUCAGUACUGACAUUAUCGACUGUCACAUAUAUGGUAUUCUCAUCUUUCUGUUAAGCAGUUUUCUUCUCCGUGCCUAAAUAAAAACAUUGACAAUACUUUUAUGUGGACUGGUUAGACUUAAAAUAUCAGGACAAAACAAGCUCUCUAGGGGAGAACAAAUGUUUUUUGCAGGGGCGUACCUAGGAACCAAUACAAUACACCUGAGUGUGGUAGCUGAGUGUUAUGGUGGUUGGCGGAGUAGGACGUGUGUGUGUG